rnacentral:rRNA from 1 species
UACGUAGGGGGCAAGCGUUGUCCGGAAUCAUUGGGCGUAAAGAGCGUGUAGGCGGUUCAGUAAGUCCGCUGUGAAAGUCAAGGGCUCAACCCUUGAAUGCCGGUGGAUACUGUUGAUCUAGAGUCCGGAAGAGGCGAGUGGAAUUCCUGGUGUAGCGGUGAAAUGCGCAGAUAUCAGGAAGAACACCCGUGGCGAAGGCGGCUCUCUGGGACGGUACUGACGCUGAGACGCGAAAGCGUGGGGAGCGAACAGG